rnacentral:pre_miRNA from 1 species
UCCAUUAGAAUAACAAGUGGGUUUGUUGACUGAAAUAGUUGAAAAACCUAAUGUUAUUACU